GAUGAACGCUAGCGGCAGGCUUAACACAUGCAAGUCGAGGGGCAGCAGGGGUAGCAAUACCCGCUGGCGACCGGCAAACGGGUGCGGAACACGUACGCAAUCUACCAUUGUCUGGGGCAUAGCCCGAAGAAAUUCGGAUUAAUACCCCAUAAUAUAUUGAGAAGGCAUCUUUUUGAUAUUAAAACUCCGGUGGACAAUGA
rnacentral:rRNA from 1 species